ensembl:miRNA cin-mir-1 cin-mir-1
ACCUACUUCUUUACAUCUUCAUAGACUAAGAAUACCGUGGCUGACAUUUCAAUUGCAGUUCCGGCAACUUAUAUGGAAUGUAAAGAAGUAUGCGU